rnacentral:rRNA from 1 species
GAUGAACGCUGGCGGCGUGCCUAAUACAUGCAAGUCGAGCGAACGGACGAGAAGCUUGCUUCUCUGAUGUUAGCGGCGGACGGGUGAGUAACACGUGGAUAACCUACCUAUAAGACUGGGAUAACUUCGGGAAACCGGAGCUAAUACAGGAUAAUAUUUUGAACCGCAUGGUUCAAAAGUGAAAGACGGUCUUGCUGUCACUUAUAGAUGGAUCCGCGCUGCAUUAGCUAGUUGGUAAGGUAACGGCUUACCAAGGCAACGAUGCAUAGCCGACCUGAGAGGGUGAUCGGCCACACUGGAACUGAGACACGGUCCAGACUCCUACGGGAGGCAGCAGUAGGGAAUCUUCCGCAAUGGGCGAAAGCCUGACGGAGCAACGCCGCGUGAGUGAUGAAGGUCUUCGGAUCGUAAAACUCUGUUAUUAGGGAAGAACAUAUGUGUAAGUAACUGUGCACAUCUUGACGGUACCUAAUCAGAAAGCCACGGCUAACUACGUG